UCACCGCUUGCGCCGGCAGUCUCCCUAGAGUUCCCGGCAUGAUCCGCUGGCAACUAAGGACAGGGGUUGCGCUCGUUGCGCCACUUAAGGCAACACCUCACGGCACGAGCUGACGACAGCCAUGCACCACCUGUGCAGGCUCCGAAGAGCGCCGUCUUUCAACGGUUUCACCCUGCAUGUCAAACCCAGGUAAGGUUCUUCGCGUCGCAUCGAAUUAAACCACAUGCUCCACCGCUUGUGCGGGCCCCCGUCAAUUCCUUUGAGUUUCAGCCUUGCGGCCGUACUCCCCAGGCGGGACACUUACUGCGUUAGCGACGGCACCGGGAGGGUCGCUCCCCCCGACGCCUAGUGUCCAUCGUUUACGGCGUGGACUAC
rnacentral:misc_RNA from 1 species